rnacentral:lncRNA from 1 species
UGGCUGAGAGCAUGGUACAGAGAAAACUCUGUGAGUAAAGGCAACAGAUGAAAGCAAGUUAAAGCUGGAGAGAGCCUGAGAGAGGAUGGAAACGACUGCCCUUGAGGUCUGGACAGAGGCUCCCGUUACACGAAAGGGCGCAUGAGUUUUAUUUGUUUUUUCACCUAAGCCAGCUUCAGUUGGGUUUGUCACUUGCCACAAAAAGGACACUGACAAAUGUAGUUUAAGAAGAGAAGCUGGAAGCAGCAAAUGCUUCGCAAAACCCAGGAACAUUUGCCCUUUCACUUGCUGGAUUCCAUGCUGUCGCUGGAGCGGGAGCCUCUCCAGUCCUGCCCAGCUGAGUCAUCACUGCUGACGCCAGUGGAGGAUCUGGCAGGAGCCCUCUGCUCCUCAUUUGGGCGCCCUCAGGGACGCACGCCCAGGGGUGUUCUGGGAAAUUUAGCAGGGAAGGCUUCAAUGGAAAAUUGAAGAAUAUGAAUGAAUAUAGCAAAUUUCAGCAGAGAGAUCGAAAGGACCACAGAGGAUGAAAUGAUGAAAUGCUCAUGCAAGAGAAAAAUCUCAACAAAGGAGCUACAGAAUGCUUUCCCCAGACUGUCUGUCUGACACCAGAUUUGACAACACUUUGUAAAUAACCAGGAGCCACAGUAGAAAUAUUCUAGGGAAUGGGAAUCACUGUCUCCUGAGGUAACAAAGAAAUAUAGAAAGCCAACAAAAUGUUUAGAAUUAUAAUCAUGAUAAUAAUGAUAGCUAGCAUUUAUUGAGUACUUGCUGUGUUCCAGCCAGGCUUGGUACUAACCUCUGUAUAUUUAGUAACUCAUCCAUUGGCUCUAUGUGACAUGUCCUACAAUCAGUCCAAGAGUAGGAAACUGACGGUGACAGAGAUGAAAAGACUUUU